rnacentral:rRNA from 1 species
GGGGAUAACAGCCGGAAACGGCUGCUAAUACCGCAUAAGCGCACAGCUUCGCAUGGAGCGGUGUGAAAAGCCUUCGGCGGUGUGGGAUGGGCCCGCGUCUGAUUAGCUGGUUGGCGGGGCAGCGGCCCACCAAGGCGACGAUCAGUAGCCGGCCUGAGAGGGUGGACGGCCACACUGGGACUGAGACACGGCCCAAACUCCUACGGGAGGCAGCAGUGGGGAAUAUUGCACAAUGGGGGAAACCCUGAUGCAGCGACGCCGCGUGAGCGAAGAAGUAUUUCGGUAUGUAAAGCUCUAUCAGCAGGGAAGAAAAUGACGGUACCUGAGUAAGAAGCUCCGGCUAAAUACGUGCCAGCAGCCGCGGUAAUACGUAUGGAGCAAGCGUUAUCCGGAUUUACUGGGUGUAAAGGGAGCGCAGGCGGUCUGGCAAGUCUGAUGUGAAAUACCGGGGCUCAACUCCGGGACUGCAUUGGAAACUGUCAGACUGGAGUGUCGGAGAGGCAGGCGGAAUUCCUGGUGUAGCGGUGAAAUGCGUAGAUAUCAGGAGGAACACCAGUGGCGAAGGCGGCCUGCUGGACGAUGACUGACGCUGAGGCUCGAAAGCGUGGGGAGCAAACAGGAUUAGAUACCCUGGUAGUCCACGCCGUAAACGAUGAA